rnacentral:rRNA from 1 species
GACGAACGCUGGCGGCGUGCUUAACACAUGCAAGUCGAACGGAAAGGCCCUGCUCUUGUUGGGUGCUCGAGUGGCGAACGGGUGUGUAAAACGUGUGUAACCUGCACUUGACUUUGGGAUAUAAUUUGGGAAAUGGGGCUCUUAUCCGGUAGGAUCUAUUGCUCCAUGUGGGGGGAUGGUAAGUUUCGGCGGUUGUGGAUCGACUCGAGGCUUAUCCGCUUGUUUGUGUAGUAGUGGCUUACCAAGCCUUAGACGGGUAGCCCGCAUGAGAGCGUGAACGGCCACAUUGGGACUAAGAUAAGGACCAGUAUCCAACGGGACGCAGCGGUGGGGAAUAUGACAGAAUGAGCGGAAGCCUGAGGCAGCGACGCCCGGUGCGUGAUGACGGGCUUUGAGUUGUAAACCGCUGUCUAAGUCGACGUAGCCUGAUUGACGGUAAUGAGUAAAGAAGCACCGGCUAACUACGUG